UAACCACAUUUCACAAAUAUCAAAGUUCAUAAUAACACCAUUUUGUCAAAUAAUCUAUUAAACACAGUUUAGUCAAACAAUUUCAUAAACACAGUGUUGCCAAAAUCAUACACAACUUAAGCCAUGACACAAAAUUUCCGAUCAAUGCCGUGUUGUACACCACGACAAGACAUACUCACCCCAAUAAUCGAAAUCAAUGAGGGAGGAAGCUAGCUAUAUAAUGAGAACUCAUCCACACUCACCUCAGACUGGGAAGUCAAAGAGGGAGGAACAUAAUCACACUCACCCCAGACUGAUAAGUCAAAGAGGGAGGAAUAUAAUCACACUCACCCCAUAAAUGGAGGAGGAACAUAGUAACAGUGUCAGGCCAGGUGUGCAUCAAAAUAAUUUCAAAUCAUAAUAUUUAAAUAUUUCAUACAAACCACAAAUUAUAUUUUAUCUCAAAAUUUCCAUUUG
rnacentral:misc_RNA from 1 species